GACAGGGGCACCUGAUCCAGCAUGCCGCGUGAUGAGAAGGCCUUCGGGUUGUAAAGCUCUUUGUCAGGAAGAAACACCGGCUCUAACACAGUCCGGGAAUGACGGUACCUGAAGAAUAAGCACCGGCUAACUACGUGCCAGCAGCCGCGGUAAUACGUAGGGUGCGAGCGUUAAUCGGAAUUACUGGGCGUAAAGCGUGCGCAGGCGGUUGUACAAGACAGGCGUGAAAUCCCCGGGCUUAACCUGGGAAUGGCGCCUGUGACUGUAUAGCUAGAGUGUGUCAGAGGGGGGUAGAAUUCCACGUGUAGCAGUGAAAUGCGUAGAUAUGUGGAGGAAUACCAAUGGCGAAGGCAGCCCCCUGGGAUAACACUGACGCUCAUGCACGAAAGCGUGGGGAGCAAACAGGAUUAGAUACCCUGGUAGUCCACGCCCUAAACGAUGCUGACUAGUUGUUCGGGAUUUACAUCCUGAGUAACGUAGCUAACGCGUGAAGUCAGCCGCCUGGGGAGUACGGUCGCAAGAUUAAAACUCAAAGGAAUUGACGGGGACCCGCACAAGCGGUGGAUGAUGUGGAUUAAUUCGAUGCAACGCGA
rnacentral:rRNA from 1 species